rnacentral:rRNA from 1 species
GGCUGUCGUCAGCUCGUGUCGUGAGAUGUUGGGUUAAGUCCCGUAACGAGCGCAACCCUUGUCCUUAGUUACCAGCACGUUAUGUGGGCACUCUAAGGAGACUGCCGGUGACAAACCGGAGGAAGGUGGGGAUGACGUCAAGUCAUCAUGGCCCUUACGGCCUGGGCUACACACGUGCUACAAUGGUCGGUACAAAGGGUUGCCAAGCCGCGAGGUGGAGCUAAUCCCAUAAAACCGAUCGUAGUCCGGAUCGCAGUCUGCAACUCGACUGCGUGAAGUCGGAAUCGCUAGUAAUCGUGAAUCAGAAUGUCACGGUGAAUACGUUCCCGGGCCUU